GUCUAUCAUGCAGGCUAAGGGUGAUGAUUCUGGCUGUCCCAGUUACCCUACCAUGGAAGCCUUUCAGGCCCCUAUCUCAGGUGAAGGGGGACUCACCCCCUCUCAGGAGUUCUAGGCCCUUAUUGAUUCUACUAUGCAGAGGGCCCUGGCCCUAUUCACACUAUUCAACAGGCCCUGACUGGGCACCGGGUACCAGAACAGCUUACAAGUUUGCAUGGCGUGUGUGGUCUGGCUGGUGCGUGGGGAGACUGCUGGAUCCCCUUUCUACCCCUCUGAAGGAGGUGCUCAGUUUUCUGACUACGCGUUUUGAAUCUGGUUUGGCCUAUCACACUAUCAAUGUUUAUAGAUCGGCCAUCUCAGCCAGACAUCUAGGUAUUGACGGAUCACCGAUUGGGCAACAUCCUUUUGUGUGCCGUUUGUUGAAGGGUAUUCGUUACGCUAGGCCUCCGAAAUCCAGGUAUUCAUCGUUUUGGGAUGUUAAUGUGGUGCUGGACUUCUUGGAAUCAUGGCCACUUAAUGAGGACCUGUCACUGAAGCAAUUAU